ACGCUAUGAUGAUGCUGAGAAAGGUUUCGCAAACAGGACUGAUUCCAUGUGACGACACAUUUCUCUUGGCUAUCUGAGCAC
ensembl:snoRNA small nucleolar RNA SNORD53/SNORD92